GACGAACGCUGGCGGCGCGCCUAACACAUGCAAGUCGAACGGAGCUGAGAGAAGCUUGCUUUUCUUAGCUUAGUGGCGAACGGGUGAGUAACGCGUGAGUAACCUGCCCUGGAGUGGGGGACAACAGUUGGAAACGACUGCUAAUACCGCAUAAGCCCACGGCCCGGCAUCGGGCUGAGGGAAAAGGAUUUAUUCGCUUCAGGAUGGACUCGCGUCCAAUUAGCUAGUUGGUGAGGUAACGGCCCACCAAGGCGACGAUUGGUAGCCGGACUGAGAGGUUGAACGGCCACAUUGGGACUGAGACACGGCCCAGACUCCUACGGGAGGCAGCAGUGGGGGAUAUUGCACAAUGGGGGAAACCCUGAUGCAGCGACGCCGCGUGGAGGAAGAAGGUUUUCGGAUUGUAAACUCCUGUCGUUAGGGACGAUAAUGACGGUACCUAACAAGAAAGCACCGGCUAACUACGUG
rnacentral:rRNA from 1 species